rnacentral:rRNA from 1 species
AACGAACGCUGGCGGCAUGCCUAACACAUGCAAGUCGAACGAGACCUUCGGGUCUAGUGGCGCACGGGUGCGUAACGCGUGGGAACCUGCCCUUAGGUUCGGAAUAACUCCCCGAAAGGGGUGCUAAUACCGGAUAAUGUCUUCGGACCAAAGAUUUAUCGCCUUUGGAUGGGCCCGCGUUGGAUUAGCUAGUUGGUAGGGUAAAAGCCUACCAAGGCGACGAUCCAUAGCUGGUCUGAGAGGAUGAUCAGCCACACUGGGACUGAGACACGGCCCAGACUCCGACGGGAGGCAGCGGUGGGGAAUAUUGGACAACGGGGGAAAGCCUGAUCCAGCAAUGCCGCGUGAGUGAUGAAGGCCUUAGGGUUGUAAAGCUCUUUUACCCGGGAUGAUAAUGACAGUACCGGGAGAAUAAGCUCCGGCUAACUCCGUG